UAAGCUGAAGCCAAUAGGCAUUUAUCUGUUACAUAAACCCCUGCUACUUUGCUAGCCUGCUUAG
rnacentral:tRNA from 1 species